rnacentral:rRNA from 1 species
AUUGAACGCUGGCGGCAGGCCUAACACAUGCAAGUCGAGCGGGGUUUUCGGACCUAGCGGCGGACGGGUGAGUAAUGCGUAGGAAGCUGCCCGAUAGAGGGAGAUACCAGUUGGAAACGACUGUUAAUACCGCAUAAUGUCUACGGACCAAAGUGUGGGACCUUCGGGCCACAUGCUAUCGGAUGCGCCUACGUGGGAUU